GUUAAUGUUUCAUCUAAGUUUCCUUUACCACAUAGAUGUACAACUUGAUAGUCUUUAAUUAAACGUGGUAAAAUUUCUCGAACUGCCUGAUUUACUUUUACAGAACCUAAGCUUCCGCCAAUAAUUAAAAGUACUGGCUUUUCUGCAUUAAAACCAGUUAAUU
rnacentral:ncRNA from 1 species